GGAAUGAGGCAGGUCACCUGGCCAUGUACGAGCUUAUUAUGUCUAUGUGCGAGAAGACAAGUCAAGGCCCUCCGUCGAUGCCUGUCUUCUCUGCGAUUGGAACGAAUAACUCCCGAGCAAGAUCACACGACCCUUCUCCAGGGC